AUAAUAAUAAUAAUAAUAAUAAUAAUAAUAAUAAUAAUAAUAAUAAUAAAUGAAAAAUGGGGCGAUGCAUGUAUUUCUACAAGCUUCCUGAUCAACACACCAAAAACAAGUCAAUAUUAACCUCAUAUUUUCUAAGUUUAAAAACAACCAAUAAUGUGGUAAUAUGUGGCCAUAAUAAUAUUUAAAAUAAAAUAAAAACAUAAAUCUCUCUUCACCAUCACACAUCUUCUUCAUGACAAAACUAACCUUUCUUCUUCAUGAAAUUUUUGUGAGCAAUAUCUAUUUUUCAAACUUAAAAAAAUAAACUGCCUUCUUCAUGAAACUUAAAGCAACACAACAAGUGAAAUGUAUAAAUCUUGAUUUUCAAUCAAAGUACAAAUCAAAACUUAAAACAAAUCAAACUUUCAUUUUUCAGAAAAACAAACUUGAGACAACAAACAUCGACCUUCACCCAUUCACAACAACGAAAGCGAAACUUAACAAAGUCAGAAAUCGAAGGAAAGAAGUGGUAUAACAUGCCUUUCGUCAGAGCUGUACGGAAUUGAUGAGUAGGCGUCGAAGAGCUCGUUGAGUCGGCGUCUAGGUGCCGUAGUUGUUGUUUGUUGUAGUGAUCGGUCGGUGAACGUCGCCGACUUAGAUGUUUGGAGCGACAGAAGGAGUAUUAUAGUAGUGUUGAUGGUUUGUUCUAUGUGGUUUGAUGAAGAUAUUGAGUUGUUGUUGAAGCUUUCAUGAGAUUUGUUGUUGUUUUAAUGGAUUUAGAGGUGAUGGAUAAUGGUGGUUUUAUGAAAUUUUCUUGUAGCAAGGUUUUUUAUAGUUGUUUAGAGAUGAAGAUGGUGAUGAAGAGUAAGUUGUAAUGGUGAUUUUUAUGAUGAGCUAUUGAUGGUGGUGUUUUCUUGAGAGUGAGAAGGAAAUGUGAUGGGUGUUUGCACCAUGUAUUAGUGCAUGAAAGAAGAAAAAACGUGUGUCUUUCAAUUUAAGAGGAAAGAGUUUAUUCUAUUUUCUUUUUAUUGUGGCCCGCGUGUCGCUUCUUCACCGGAGGGAGAUCAUUUAUUUUUUUCUUGAAACAAAUAUUUGCUAUGCUUCCACAUCUCCAUUUCCCUUACCAUUCAUUCUCUAUUGCAAUUGGUAAAAGAUAUCUUCAUGUAACCAAAGAAAUAACGCCACAUGGCACUGAAAGAGAGAGGAUUUUAUCCAAUCUUUUUACUUGAUUUUGGAAUUUAAAAAAUAAAUCUAUCUAAUGAAAUAAAAAUUAAAAGAACAAAUAAAAAAAACAAACUAGGUACUUAAAUAAAUUCUAAUUUAUUCUACUAAUUAUAUUUACUAAAAAAUAAAAAUAAUCAGAUAAAAAAAAAUUCGGGCAAAAAAAUGUUCGAAAAAAUAAAUUAACUGCACCAAAAUUAUCAGCGCGAAAUACACUAUUCGAAAACAUAUAUGUUUUGAUCGAAAUUUUGAAAUAAAAAUUGACCGGUUAAAAGACUCAGGUUGAUCAGAACGCGAUCGAAAAAGUAGUCAAAAAAUUAAAACGAGCAUACUAGGUUAAACUACGCGGAACGUAGAUUAAUAAAACUGACAUCUGCAAGCUCAAAUUUGAAAAUUUCCGCCCGCUAAUUCGUCAUUCAAUUGAGAAACUAUUCGAUCGGUCUCUCUGUAGAUCCGAAAAAUUUAUCUGGCCGAUAUUUCAAGUGUUAUGUGAAACAAAAUGCAUGAUAUGACAAGUAUAAAAAUGUAAACGUCUUCUAAAUGCACUGAAUUUCUAAUUGAAUAAUCGUAAAUGGAUAAUCAUAUGCAAAUGAAUCGCCCUUGGACCAUUUACUUUUGAUUCUCCAUCACAAAUAAAACAUUUCAAAGAUUCAGAUGACGACAAAACUCUUGAUUGUCAUCCUCUGAACCUUUGAAAACACGAUGCAAUGGAAUGAACGAUGCUAUGAGAUUGAGAAAUCAAGUCUUUCGACUUCUUAAUCAAUAGAUAACUGAAUGAAUGUCAUCAAGACCAAUAAACUGCCAAAACUCCAAACUUUUUAUCUAAACCCCAAUGAAUGCUUUUAACUGAUGAAAAUGUAUGACAAAAAUGGAUAAAUUUAUGCUAUGUUUAUGCGAGUGAAAACUCAUGGUAAAAUUUAGGGUAUGCCACAACACACACUCUAUCAUACGCACAUGCUAUUAGGUGACCCAUGUCAAGGAAGCACAUCCAUUUUGCCUCUGGUGCCGGACCGCUAAGGCAAGGAACAAGAGACUCGUAAACUUCAUCGAAUGUUUCUUUCUUUCCGUACAACUGUGUGCAUGAUUCUUUAUACGUCAUGAACUAUUGGAUAAGUUGAUGGAAGACAAGUGUAUGAUUAUCUUCUCAUUUACCGAGUAAAUUCGAAAUUGUUCGAUAACUACAAUUACUACCCCCCGUAACAUUGACGAUUCACUCGAUGUAUUUGUGCAUAAAAACGGGCACCUCGUCGAUGAAUGGAAUUUUUUGUGGAGGCGGCGUAUGAGGUGGUUUGCUAAUGCGAGGUCCUUUGAAAACACUUUUUUGAAAUUUUGGAGUUGGUAAGUCGGGAAAAACUUUGUCAACAUGUUCAAAAAAUGAAGGAGAUCGUGUAGUCGAAUUGUCAUUCAGUGUUGGCUUCAUUUUCUUCGGAGCACCUUUUGUUUUUACCGGUUGAGAUGGUGGUUUCAUGUCGAUGCUUUCCGGAUAGGCAAUCUUCCUCAAUUGUUCUUUGAUGUGGAGUUUCAAGUUGUCACCGACUUUCAAAAGUCUCUCUUGUAUCACUUCUCAUUCGGUCAUAAUAGAGAUAUUCGAUUUACCGUCAUUCAUGACACGAUCAUCAUCAAAUGAGUGCAAACCUCAUCCACUGUUAUUAGGCUACCAAGUUUCACCUUUUUUGCAACAACACAAGCACAUGAGAGACCAUAUGUUUUCACAAUUGUGCAUGCACACUUUGCACUAUCAGAGCCUACAUAUCAGCUCGUUUAGCCUCAUGAAAAGUAUAAUUCAAACCCGCACGAGAAAUGUUAUCGACCAACUGAGAAUAAAGAGUGUUGUCUUUAAAUUUGUAUUCCAAAACUGUGAUGCUCCGAACAAAUGAUGUGUGUAUCUCAUUAUACUGGUUUUGAAUCAUGUGGUACACAUAGUCUCAAUCUCUACACAAACCGCCCUUACUAUUUCCCAACCAAUUUUUCAAAGUAGCAUGGGCAGACUCAACUCUGUUAGUUAUUGUAUUUCUAAGGUGUCUAACAUUAUCAAUCCAUGCACAAACAAUUUUCUUCUUUACCUGGUCAAGAAUUGUGCUUUCAACAUAUUUCAACAAAUCCGGAUACUUUUCAUACACUUUCCUGAAAUGCAUAACAGAAGCGACAUAUAGUUCUUUUAUGAAAGAAAUUAUUAUACGAUUCCAUGCAUCAAUUAUUUUUUCCACAACCAGACCCUCCUUCCCCAUUUUCCCAUCUUCAGACUCUAUUUGAUUCGUCCCUAUGUUAUGUGAUACCUACAAAGUAAUGAAUUAGAGGAAGAAAAUACCUUUACAACCGAUUUCAUCAAGACGGUAUCGCUGUCGGUAACAAUCACUUUAUGCAUCUUACCUUGGUCUUUCAAUAGUGUCUGACACACCUCUAAGGCCUAAGUAAAAUUGUCUUAUUUUUCACACUCAAGAAAUACAAACCCAACUGAAUAUCUCUUCUUAGUUGAUGUAACACCAACCAUCUCCAAUAAUGGAAGUCUAUACUUGUUGGGUUUGUAGGUUGAAUCAAGUAUGAGCAUGGUAGGAAACGUACUGAGCAACUUUAUGGAAUCAGGAUGAGUCCAAAAUAUAUCUCUAACAAUAACUUCAUCCUCGCAAGUUUGGUACCUAGACACGUAAUCGUUAUCAUCCAACAAUUUCAAGAGUUGUUGCAUUUCAAUUAUACCCCCUUAAGCGCCUUGUUAGUUUGAUACCGAAUAUUAUACACUUGCUUGAUAUUUGAUAUAUUUUCGGGUCUUUUCCGUUUCAAUAUUGCAAGUAUAUUUUUCGGUUGAAUCAAAUUCAAUGUCAUGUCAGCAACACAUCCUUUCUCUUUCGGCAUGAGCCGACACACACUAGGAUGACUGGCUAAUUUUUCACAAAAUCAUGGUUAUGCAAACCACAUAUGACAUUAAAUCUCCAGUUUUUAUUUUCCAACAUGUAACCACGCACCUUAAACAAACAUUCACAUUUUCUUGAACCGGUGCCGUCUCUUUUAAAAAUAUGGAGUGGAGUUCUAUAUCUCCAGCUUCUUUCGCACGUCAUUAUCACAAAAGUGCACCUUCUAUCUGAACCGUUAUCGGGCCUUCCAAUAGCCACACUAAAUCAAAGUUUAGAGACCUACAUAUGAAUCCAUUGAAGCAUUUGAUCACAAGAUUCAAACUCUUGCUCAUUUUUAAAUUGGUUCCCAACAUAUACCGCCCUCACAACAACACCUUGGACAUUCGGAGAAACAACUUGUUUUGAGAAAACAUCGGGGUGCACCAUAUCUAAAGAAAAUAAUUACAACAUAUACGCGCCACUGCUGAAAACAAAGUUGGAAAGUGAACACAAAUUAGUUCCAGAAAUGCAUCUCUGAAAAUGUUCAUACUCGUUCUGGAGAUACAUUUUCGGACACAACGCUCAUUUUUUCAAACAAAAUACAUGAUUAAUAUGAGAAAUGCAGUGUGAAAUAAAUGAUCUUUACAUGAAAUUAUAACUUCUUUUGCUCCCUUUGAUAUGAUGAACCACAAGUUUAGAGAUUUGGAGUGAAAAAAUAGAUUGAGAAUGGAAAGGUUUUUGGUAAGGGUUUGUAGAGAAAAACAACAAUGACAAUAAUGGUUGUGUGAUCAUGCAACUGUUUUUUUAUCAGAUUAUUCCGGAGAUGCAUCUCCAGAAAUAUCUCACAUGAAAAGGUGACAAAAUAUUUCAAAAUCCCAUCCAAACUUCCGAAGAUGUAGCUCCAUAAAUUCUACUGAACUGAUCAAUUAUGAAUAUAUUUCUUGAAAUGUUCUGGAGAUGCAUCUCCGGAAUAAAAAUAACCCAACUUAUAGGGCGCCACUCAUAAUGGUGUGUGUGUGUGUAUGUGUGUGUGUGUGUGUGUGUGUGUGUUGUGUAACACCCUUCUAAAAUACCCCAAAUAUUUAAUUAAAAUAACAACAUAUAUCAAUCAGAGUAGAUAUGCAAUUACGGGUGUCACACAAUUACUUCACAACUUGAGUUUGGUGUGUGAGAGAUCACAUAGUGUCAAAUUGGGAAUGUGAAACUAACAAGUGGUAUUUGGAUGAGAUCAGAGAGGUCAGAAAUCUGAUGUGCUUUUGGUUGAUAAGUUGACUUUAGUGAAUCAAGGUCAAGGUGGUGAAUUCAGAGUUGAUGAGAAUGGUAUUUUGAAAUUUGGUAAUCGGGUGUGUAUUCCGGAUGUUGCGAGCUUAAGAAGAGUAUUCUUGAAGAAGGACAUCGUAGUGGUUUGAGUAUUCAUCCUGGAGCUACGAAGAUGUAUCAAUGAUUUGAAGAAGUUGUUUGGUGGCGGGAAUGAAAAGAGAAAUUGCGAGUUUUUGUUUAUUCCUGUUUGACUUGUCAGAAAUCAAAGAUUGAGCAUCAGAAGCCGUCUGGGCUAAUGCAACCGUUGGCUAUUCCAGAGUGGAAGUGGACAGUAUCAGUAUGGAUUUUGUUUGGGUUUACCGAGAACAAGUUAAGAAUUUUGAGGCUAUUUGGGUGAUUGUGGAUAGAUUGACAAAAUCGGCUCAUUUCAUUCCGAUCAGAAUGGAUUAUCCGUUGGAGAGGUUAGCUGAAUUGUAUAUUGAGAAGAUUGUAAGUCUACAUGGUAUCCCGUCGAGUAUUGUUUCGGACAGAGAUCCUAGAUUUACAUCGAGUUUUGGGAAGUUUGCAGAGGCUUUGGGAACUAAGUUGAGAUUAGUCUGCAUAUCAUCCGCAGACUGAUGGUCAGACUGAGAGGACGAUUCAGUCAUUAGAGGAUCUUUUGAGACUGUGUUUUGGAAAGGGAGUGCUUGGGAUUGUUAUUUACCUUUGGUUGAGUUUACUACAACAAUAGUUUUCAUUCGAGUAUUGGUAUGGCACCGUUUGAAGCUUGUGUAUGGUAGGAGAUGUCGACACUUUAUGUUGGUAUGAGUCCGGUGAGAGUGCUGUGGUUGGACCAGAGAUUGUCAACAGACUACUGAAAAGAUUAAGAUGAUUCAGGAUAGAUGAGAAUGCUCAGAGUCGUCAGAAGAGUUAUCAUGAUAGAGGAGAAAGUCCUUGAGUCCAAGAGGAGAUCAUGUGUUUCUUCGUGUACUCCGAUAACUGGUGUUGGUCGAGCCUGAAGUCAAAGAAGCUGACUCCUCGAUUUAUUGGUCCUUAUCAGAUUUUGGAGAGGUAGGGGAGGUAGCCUAUCGUAUCGCUUUACCGCCGUCACUUGCGAAUUGCAUGAUGUUUUUCAUGUGUCUCAUUGAGGAGAUACGUUCAUGAUCCGUCGCAUGUAGUCCAAGUAGAUGAUGUACAGGUGAGAGAUAACCUGACUGUUGAAACAUCACCUAUGAGGAUUGAAGAUCGAGAGUUGAAGCAGUUGCGGGGGUAAAGAGAUUGCCUUAGUGAAGUAGCUUGGGAAGGACCAGCAGGUGGCAAUGUGACUUGGGAACUUGAGAGUCAGAUGAAGGAACUUAUCCAGAGUUGUUCGCUUGAGGUAUGGUUCGAGACGAAAACUCUUUUAGUGGGGAGAGUUGUAACACCCCAAUUAAAAUAAGAUAUUAUUUAAUUUAAAUUAAUAUUUUUUUAUUAAUUUAAUUGAAUAAUUGGAAAUUUGGAUUAUUAUUAUUAUUAUUUUGGAAUAAUAAUUAUUGGAAUAAUUAUUUAUUGGAAUAUAUAAGUUGAAAUAAAAGUCCCAAUUUGGAAAAAAGGUUUUCACGUGAAAAGGAAAAGAGAAGCGGCUGAAAGAGAGAGAAGGGCAAAAGGCAGAGCAAGAGAAGAGGAAAAGCUUGAAGCUGCAGAAUUGCCGGAUUAACUCAGUAAGGGGGUUAUCAUCGGUUAAAGGUAUAUGAUAAUAUGUACUGGUAGUGAUAACCAUUGUUUUACCUCUGAUUAGAUGGAUGCAUGAUGAAUUGUGAAAUAUUGGAUGAAUGAAAUUGGAUGAUAAUUGAAAGGUUUGGUAGGAAUUGGAUGUAAAGUGUUAGAUUUGUGUAAUCGAAUAAGAUAGGAAUUGUGUGGAAAAUAUGGACGAUUAUUUGGUGUAAAUUGGACUGUAGAAGGUUGGAUCGGAUAGGUUUCGUAAUAGAGAAAGUCAUUUGCAGAUCUGGAAAUCUGGUUCUAUAGCAGAGGGUUCUGUUUGCGCGCGAUUCACGCGCGAAGCCAGUGCCGCGAACUGGCAAAUCCAGAGGGUUCUGUAACGCACCGUUCGCGGCGCGAACCCUGCUGCGGCGCCAACUGUGCUGUGCAGAGUUGAUGUUGGAUGGUGAAUUCCUGUGUGGUGGUGAUGCAGUUUUGGCUGUCUAGGCUGAAUGAUGUGACUUAGCUGAGGACCGAUGUAAAGGGAUCAUUUCCCGUUGUUUGAGUGGCAUAGUAUUAGUAGGGUGUGCUAAUACUAUGAUUAAUUUAUGCAUGAUAUGAUAGCUUUCGUGAUGAAAUGUGUUGAUGAUAUGUGAUGGUAUGCAUAAUGCUGUGAAUGUAUCGGUGAUGUAUGCAUAUUAAUAGACUGUUGUAUGGCUUAGAGUGUGAGCAUGUGUCUAUUCUUGAAUUGUUGUUUGUUGUUGCCUUGCUAGAUGAUUAGCGCAUGGCAUAGCCUGUGGGGCUGUAGCUAAUUCCCAUUGUGAGGAAUUAGUGAGUAAAAUAUGGUGGAGUUGUUGUUGAUGUUUGCAUACUAGAUGAGUAGUGUGCAUAGUCUAGCCUUUGGGCUGUAGCUAAUUCCAUGGUGAGGAAUUAGUGAGUGAGUCAUUAGAUCUCAAUGAGUGGGACUAGUGAGCUCAGUAGCCGUAUCCGAGGGAUCGGUGAGCUUGGACUAUAUGUUCAAGAAGAGUUGUACCGCAUUUCAUGGAGUCUCAUUGCAUAAUGAAUGCAGCAUAGCCUGUGGGGCUGUAGCUAUUCCAUUGUGAGAAUUAGUGAGUAAAUCGUUGUGUUGUGUUGUUGGUGUUGAAUAUGGUUUGAGACUAUACAUAGAUAUAUAUUAUUGUUGAGUAUAAUGUUUGCGUUGAUACUGCCGUUAUGGAGUGUGUAGUCUGGUUAGGGUGAUUUGAUGCGUUAUUUACUUAACAUUACAUAAUGUUGUAUAAUGCUUAUUAUAUGAUUGGGAACUCACUUACAACUAUGUUUUUCAGUAACAGCAGUGAGUUGAGUAGAAGCUAGUCCUUGGAGUCUAGUGUCGUCCUUAGUGUCAUGCUCUGGUAGAUGUAACAUCGGGAGGGGAUGUUUUAAUUAUUUUGAUGUUGAUUGUUGAAUAUUUACAUGUACUGUGGUACAUGUUAUUACAUGAUUGAAUUGAUUUUCUAUCCGCUGCGAAUUAUGCAAAAGUGUCCUAUUUUGAUUAAAUAAAUGAGCAUGACAGGAUAUUUGAUGAAUAUUGUGUGACACCCUUCGGGGCAUAUACUCUGAUUGAUAUGUUUAUAUUUAAUUAAAUAUUUGGGGUAUUUUAGAAGGGUGUUACACUAAUCACCUAGCAUGCAAACAUCAACAACAAUCCACAUACCCACAUCACAAUUCCUNNNNNNNNNNNNNNNNNNNNNNNNNCCAUUCACCAUAUAACUGUCAUGCUUUUUAUUAAUUCAAAACAUAAAGCAUUUGCACAAUACGCAGCGGAUAGAGAUAAAUCAAUCAUGCAAACAUGUAGCAUAUACAUGUAAACUGGUUCACAACCAACAAUAAACAUUUAAAACAUCCCAUCCGAUGUUACAUCUACCAGAGCAUGACCACUAAGGAACUACACUAGAUCCACAGCACUAGCUCCUACUCAAUCACUGCUCGUUACCUGAAAAAUAGUGUAAGGGUGAGUCUCAAUCAUAUAUAAGCAUUUAUAAAAUAUCAUGCAAUGUUAAGUAAUUUAACACAUUUCAUCACCCUAAUCAUAACACACAUUCAGUAAACGGCCAAUCACUCAACACUCAUACUCAACACCAACAUAAAGCACAUGUAUAAUCUCAUUCAUACUCACACCAACACAAAACACGUAUAAUAUUGGAAUACAUCAUUCAUAUUAUACGUCAUACAUACAUUAUGCAAUGAGACUCCAUGCAUCGCGUACGACUAUUCGUGAACAUAUAGUUCAACCUCACCGAUCAAAUCCAGAUACGGCUACAAGUCACUAGUCCCACUCAUUUGACCUAGUGACUCACUCACUAAUUCCUCACAUGGUAUAGCUACCACCCAAGGCUAUUGAUAUGCACCGCUAAUGUAACACCCCAAUAAAAUAAGAUAAUUAUUUAAUUUAAUUAAUAAUUUAUUUAUUAAUUUAAUUGAAUAAUUGGAAAUUGGAUUAUUAUUUUAUUAUUUUGGAAUAAUAAUUAUUGGAUAUUAUUUAUUGGAAUAUAUAAGUUGGAAUAAAAAGUCCCAAUUUGGAAAAAAAGGUUUUCACGUGAAAGGAAAAGAGAAGCGGCUGAAAGAGAGAAAGGGCAAAAGGCAGAGCAAGAGAAGAGGAAAGCUUGAAGCUGCAGAUUUGCCGGAUUAACUCAGGUAAGAGGGGUUUAUCAUCGGUUAAAGGUAUUAUAUGAUAAUAUGUACGGUGGGUAGUGAUAACCAUUGUUUUACCUCUGAUUAGAUGAUGCAUGAUGAAUUGUGAAAUAUUGGAUGAAUGAAAUUGGAUGAUAAAUGAAAGGGUUGGUAGGAAUUGGAUGUAAAGUGGUUAGUUUUGUGUAAAUCGAAGAUAGGAAUUGUGUGGAAAAUAUGGACGAUUAUUUGGUGUAAAUUGGACUGUAGGAAGGUUGGAUCGGAUAGGUUCGUAAUAGAGAAAGCAUUGCAGAUCUGGAAAUCGGCUUCUGUAGCAGAGGUCUGUUUGCGCGGAUUCGCGGCGCCGAACUGGCAAAUCCAGAGGGGUCUGCUAACGCACGUCGCGGCGCGAACCCUGCUGGCGGCCGCGAACUGUGCUGUGCAGAAGUUGAUGUUGGAUGGUGAAUUCGUGUGGUGGUGAUGCAGUUUUUGGCUGUCUAGCUGAAUGAUGUGACUUAGCUGAGGACCGAUGUAAUAGGAUCAUUUCCCGUUUUUGAGUGGCAUAGUAUUAGUAGGUGUGCUAAUACUAUGUUAAUUAUAUGCAUGUAUUGAUAUGCUUUCGUGAUGAAAGUGUUGAUGAUAUGUGAUGGUAUGCAAUAUGCUGUGAAUGUAUCGGUGAUGUAUGCAUUAUUAAUGACUGUUGUAUGGCUUAGAGUGUGAGCAUGUGUCUAUUCUUGAAUUGUGUUGUUGUUGUGCCUUGCUAGAUGUUAGCAUGCAUGCAUAGCCUGUGGGGCUGUAGCUAAUUCCCAUUGGUGAGGAAUUAGUGAAGUAAAAUAUGGUGGAGUUUUGUUGAUGUUUGCAUACUAGAGAGUAUGUGCAUGUCUAGCCUUUGGGCUGUAGCUAAUUCCAUGGUGAGAUUAGUGAGUGAGUCAUUAGAUCUCAAUGAUGGGACUAGUGAGCUCAGUAGCCGUAUCCGGAGGAUCGGUGAGCUUGGACUAUAUGUUCAAGAAGAGUUGGUACCCGCAUUUCAUGGAGUCUCAUUGCAUAAUGAAUGCAUGGCAUAGCCUGUGGGGCUGUAGCUAAUUCCAUUGUGAGGAAUUAAUGAGUAAAUCGUUGUGUUGUGUUGUUGGUGUUGAAUAUGGUUGAGACUAUACAUAUGAUAUAAUUUAUUUUGAGUAUAAUGUUUGCGUUGAUACUGCCGUUAUGGAGUGUGUAGUCUGGUUAGGUGAUUUGAUGCGUAUUUACUUAACAUUACAUAAUGUUGUAUAAUGCUUAUUAUAUUGAUUGAGAACUCACCCUUACAACUAUGUUUUUCAGGUAACGAGCAGUGAGUUGAGUAGAAGCUAGUCCUUGGAGUCUAGUGUCGUCCUUAGUGGUCAUGCUCUGGUAGAUGUAACAUCGGAGGGGAUGUUUAAUUAUUUUGAUGUUGAUUGUUGAAUAAUUUACAUGUACUGUGGUACAUGUUAUUACAUGAUUGAAUUGAUUUUCUAUCCGCUGCGAAUUAUGCAAAAGUGUCCUAUUUUGAUUAAAUAAAUGAGCAUGACAGGAUAUUUGAUGAAUAUUGUGUGACACCCUUCGGGCUAAUUACUCUGAUUGAUAUGUUUAUUAUUUAAUUAAAUAUUUGGGGUAUUUUAGAAGGGUGUUACAUAGUGGUAUCGAGCAUAGUCGGCGAGUCGAGUCGUAUUAUUCUGUUCUGUACGGGAUAGGUGUUGUGUAACCCAUAGUAUUAUUGUUAGCUUGUGGUGUUUUCAGAUAGAGAUGGCUGGAAGAGGUAGAGAUGAUGCUGGAUUGCUGAGGCUCUGGGUAUGCUAGCUGGAUACUUGGAGGAAUCCGAAUGUUGUGGGAAUGGGAGCUGCUCGUCACUGAGUGAGUUCCAGAAGAACAAUCCUCCAUGUUCAAGGGCGCAUACGACCAAGAGGUGCUCAGAAGUGGUUGAAGGAGAUAGAGAGGAUCUUCCGAAGUGACUGAGUGUGCGAUAACCAGAAGGUCAGGUUUCGGUACGCAUAUGCUGUCAGAGGAAGCUGAUGAUUGGUGGGUUGCUACCCGCACUGAGUGGAAACUGCUGGGAAUGCGUGAAUCACUUGGGCUGUGUUCAGAGAGAGAUUCCUGAGGAAGUAUUUUCCAGAGGAUGUUAGGGAAAGAAAGAGAUAGAGUUCUUGGAAUUGAAGCAGGGUAACAGGUCUGUUACUGAGUAUGCUGCUAAGUUCACAGAGCUGUCGAAGUAUUACUCCUAUAAUGAGGCUGCUGCGAGAAUUUUCGAAAUGUGUGAAGUUGAGGAACGGGUUGCGUCUGAGAUCAAGCAGGCUAUUGUAUCAGGGAUCGAGUGUUUUCUGAUUGGUUGACUGUUGCAGGAUUUUUGAACAGGAUUCCAAGGCCAGAGCUGAGAGCUAUCAGCAGAGGUUGAUAGGAAAGCAAGAAUCAGAUUGAUCGUGGAAACCGUAUGCAGCUGGCAAAGGUUUUCAGAGACAGAGUGGGAUGAAGAAGCUAGUGGGGGAGACUCUAGUGCUCCUGUUAAGUGUUACAGAAUGUGCUCGGGCUGGACAUCGUGUUCAUGAGUGUACCAGUGCUGAGAUGAAGUGUUUCAAGUGGGAAAGGUGGUCAUUUGGCUGCCAGUAUGCGGUUGAAGACUGUGAUUGUUUCAACUGUGGAGAGUGGGUCAUAUCAUCGCAGUGUCCUAAGCCGAAGAAAGAGAAUCAGUCGGGAGCAAGGUUUUUGCUUAUCGGGUUCUGAGACUUCUGCAAUGUCGUGAUCGGUACGUGUUAUAUUAAUGGCUCUUCCUCUUGUAGCUAUUAUUGACAGGGUGCGACUCAUUCUUUUAUAUCUUGGAUUGUGCUGUAACUUAGUUAGAGAUAUCUGAGAUGUUUGUAGUAUGGUGUAUGAUACUCCUGCGAAGGGUUCAGUGACUUACUACGUCAGUUUGUUUAAAUUGUCCUUAGUAUUUUUGGUAGAGACUUGGAUAGACUUUGUGUCUUCCAUUAGUGCCAGAUUGAUGUUAUCCUGGGUAUGAACUGGUUGGUGUUUACGAUUUAUAUCAAUUUUUUGAUAGACUGUGAUCUUUCUGAGAUUGAGGAAGGAAGAGUUUGUUUCUAUCAGCGAGGCACGUGUGAAUGAGGAGUAGCUGAUGGGGCCAGAGCUGUUUAUGCUGUUAGCGACUUUGGAAGCUAAAGAUAAACUAGUGUUGGCGAUCUCGUGUGGUGUGUGAUUUCCUGAUCGUGUUCCGGAAGAAGUGAAUGUUACACCAGAGCGUGAAGUUGAGUUUCGAUUGAUUUGGUACCGUACUAGACCGAUAUCGAUGGCUCUGUACGUAUGUCUGCUGUGAGUUAGCUGAAUUGAAAUCAGUUUGGAAUUUGUGGAUAAGAAAUUUAUUCGUCCGAGUGUGUCACGUGGGUGCACCAGUGUUGUUGGUUAAGAGAAAGAAGUACAUGAGAUUGUUGUGUGGAUACAGGCAACUGAAUAAGUGACUAUCUAAGAAUCGUAUCUUUGCCGAGGAUUGAUGAUUGAUGGAUCAGUUUGUUGUGCGAGUGUGUUCAGCAAGAUAGAUUUGAGAUCUGGUAUCAUCAGAUACGUGUGAAACUGAGGAUAUUCAGAAGACUGCUUUCAGAACAAGGUAUGGACUAUGAGUUUCGGUGAUGCCUUUUGGUGUGACUAAUGCGGGAGUAUUCAUGGAGUAUAUGAAUAGAUUUUCCAUCCGUACCUAGAUCGUUUGUUGUGGUGUUUAUUGAUGACAUUUUGGUGUAUUCGAAAUCUGAGAAGAGCAUGCUGAACAUUGAGAGUGGUGUUGGAGUUCUACGAGAAAGAAGUUAUUUGCUAAACUGUCAAGGGUGAAUUUUGGUUAGAAGAGGUUAGUUUUCUUUGGUCAUGUAAUUUCAAGAGGUGGUGUUGCUGUUGAUCCUUCUAGAUAGAAGCGGUAUCUAAGUGGGAAGCUCCGAAGUCAGUUUCUGAGAAGAAGUUUCUUGGACUUGCAGGUUAUUAUUAGGAGUUCAUUGAUGGGAUUCUCUAAGUUGGUUACCGUUGACGAUGUUGACUAGAAAGGCGCACGUUUGUUUGGGACUCAAAUGUGAGAAGGUUUCCAAGAGUUAAGAAAAGGAAGUUAAACUCUGCUCUCUAUCCUGAUAUUACGAGUUCGUCGGAACUAUUUUGGGUUUAUUGUGAUGCUUCAUUGCUGGUUUAGUGGUGUGUUGAUGCAAAUAAGCAGGUUAGCUUAUGCUCGCGAGACAGUUAAGAGUUAUGAGAGGAACUACCCGACAACAUGAUUGAUUGGCAGCUGUGGUAUUUUUUCUGAAAGUUAUGAGAGCAUUAUUUGUAUGGGUCAGAUUGUAGUUUUCAGUGACAUAAAGUUUAAGUAUUUGUUUGAUCAGAAAGAAGCUGAAUAUGAGGCAGAGGAGAUGGUUAGAAGUUCUGAGGAUUAUGAUUUUGGGUUGAAUACCAUCCGGGUAAAGCAAAUGUAGUGGCUGAUCAUUGAGUCGGAAAUCAUUGCAUAGUCUAUGUUAAUUGUUAAGAACUGGAUUUAAUUAACAGUUUAGGACUUGAGUUUGGUGUGUGAGAUACUCCAAUAGUGUCAAUUGGGAAUGUUGAACUAACAUGGUAUUUGGAUGAGAUCAGAGAGGGUCAGAAAUCUGAUGUGCUUUUGGUUGAUAAGUUGACUUUAGUGAAUCAAGGUCAAGGUGGGAAUUCAGAGUUGAUGAGAAUGGUAUUUUGAAAUUUGGUAAUCGGGUGUGUAUUCCGGAUGUUGCGAGCUUAAGAAGAGUAUUCUUGAAAAGGACAUCGUAGUGGUUUGAGUAUUCAUCCUGGAGCUACGAAGAUGUAUCAUGAUUUGAAGAAAGUUGUUUGUUGUGCGGGAAUGAAAGAAAAAUUGCGAGUUUUGUUUAUUCCUGUUUGACUUGUCAGAAAUCAAAGAUUGAGCAUCAGAAGCCGUCUGGCUAAUGCACCGUUGGCUAUUCCAGAGUGGAAGUGGGACAGUAUCAGUAUGGAUUUUGUUUCGGGUUUACCGAGAACAGUUAAGAAUUUUGAGGCUAUUUGGGUGAUUGUGGAUAGAUUGACAAAAUCGGCUCAUUUCAUUCCGAUCAGAAUGGAUUAUCCGUUGGGAGAGUUAGCUGAUUGUAUAUUGAGAAGAUUGUAGUCUACAUGGUAUCCCGCGAGUAUUGUUUCGGACAGAGAUCCUAGAUUUACAUCGAGUUUUGGGAAGGUUUGCGAAGGCUUUGGAACUAAGUGAGAUUAAGUUUGCAUAUCAUCCGCAGACUGAUGGUCAGACUGAGAGGACGAUUCAGUCAUUAGAGGAUCUUUUGAAGCUUGUGUUUUGGAAAAGGGGUGCUUGGGAUUGUUAUUUACUUUGGUUGAGUUUACCUACAACAAUAGUUUUCAUUCGAGUUGGUAUGGCACCGUUUGAAGCUUUGUAUGGUAGGAGAUGUGACACCUUUAUGUUGGUAUGAGUCCGGUCGAGAGUGCUGUGGUUUGACCAGAGAUUGUUCAACAGACUACUGAAAGAUUAGAUGAUUCAGGUAAAUGAGAAUGCUCGAGAGUCGUCAGAAGAGUUAUCAUGAUAGAGGGAAAGUCACUUGAGUUCCAAGAGGAGAUCAUUGUUUCUUCGGUUACUCCGAUAACUGGUGUUGGUCGAGCCUUGAGUCAAAGAAGCUGACUCUCGAUUUAUUGGUCCUUAUCGAUUUUGGAGAGGAUAGGGAGGUAGCCUAUCGUAUCGCUUUACGCGUCACUUGCGAAUUUGCAUGAUUUUUUCUGUGUCUAGUUGAGGAGAUACGUUCAUGAUCCGUCGCAUGUAGUCAAGUAGAUGAUGUACAGGUGAGAGAUAACCUGACUGUUGAAACCAUCACCUAUGAGGAUGAAGAUCGAGAGUUGAAGCAGUUGCGGGUAAAGAGAUUGCUUAGUGAAGGUAGCUUGGGAGGACCGCAGGUGGCAAUGUGACUUGGGAACUUGAGAGUCAGAUGAAGGAUCUUAUCCAGAGUUGUUCGCUUGAGGUAUGUUUUCGAGGACGAAACUCUUUUAGUGGGGAGAGUUGUAACACCCCAAUUAAAAUAAGAUAAUUAUUUAAUUUAAAUUAAUAUUUUUUAUUAAUUUAAUUGAAUAAUUGGAAAUUUGGAUUAUUAUUAUUAUUAUUUGGAAUAAUAAUUAUUGGAAUAAUUAUUUAUUGGAAUAUAUAAGUUGGUAAAAGUCCAAUUUUGGAAAAAAGGUUUCACGUGAAAAGGAAAGAGAGCGGCUGAAAGAGAGAAAGGGCCAAAGGCAGAGCAAGAGAAGAGGAAAAGCUUGAGCUGCAGAUUUGCCGAUUAACUCAGUAAGGGGGUUUAUAUCGGUUAAAAGGUAUUAAUAUAUAUGUACUGGGUAGUGAUAACAUUGUUUUACCUCUGAUUAGAUGGAUGCAUGAUGAAUUUGUGAAAUAUUGGAUGAAUGAAAUUGGAUGAUAAUUGAAAGGUUUGGUAGGAAUUGGAUGUAAAAGUGUUAGAUUUUGUGUAAUCGAAAAGAUAGGAAUUGUGAUGGACAAUUAUUUGGUUGUAAUGGACUGUAGAAGGUGGAUCGGAUAGGUGGAAUAUAGAGAAAGUCAUUUGCAGAUCUAUCUCUCUCACCAUGGGAAUUAGCUACCACCAUAAAGGCCACAAUAUGCAAGCUAAAUCACUUAGUCAUGCAAACAUCAACAAUCAUCCACAAUGGACAUAUGCUCACACUCUAAGCCAUAAACAGUCCAUUCACCAUUGCAUACAUAAUAGAUACAUCCACGGCAUUAUGCAUACAAUCAUACAUCAUCAACAUAUUUAUCACAUAAUCAUAUCAUGCCACAUAAUCAAUCACAGUAUUAGCACACUCUACUAAUACAUAUAUUGCUCAAAACAACGGGAAAUGAUCCCUACUCUAUCAUACAUCAGCUAAAUUACAUUACUCAGCUGAACAACCCAAAAACUGCACAACAACAGCACAGAAAAAUCACAAUUAUGCCCAUACGCGUAUUGCCUAGUCCCAUACGCGUAUGGCCCAUUUCUCAGCCAAUCCCAUACGCGUAUCACCUGUCUCAUACGCGUAUGCUACGCGUACCAACAGAGACCAACCCACGCUCAAAACAUCACCUUCCUCAUCCAUACGCGUAUUGCCUAGUGCCAUACGCGUACCAGACCAUCUCAUACGCGUAUUGCCUAGUGCCAUACGCGUAUGACCAGAAACCAGAUUUCCAGAUCUGCUAUGGUUUUCUCUACCACGAGAUUCCUCAGAUCCAACCUCCCACAGUCCAAUUUUACACAGUAUUCGUUCGUAUCAUCUAACACGAAUCAUACCCUAUUCGAUUUCACAAAUUCUAACAUUAUUACAUCUAAUUCCUACGAAUUCCCUUCAAUUAUAAUCCGAAUUUCGUUCAUCCAAAAGUUCACAAUUUCCUCAUGCAUCAUUCCAAUUAGAGUCAAAUCAAUGGUUUAUCACUACCCAUUACAUGUUAACCCAUAAUACCCAUUAAACGACGAUAAACCCCCCUUACCUGAGUUAAUCCGGCAAUCCUAAAGCUUCAAGCUUUUCCCUUCUUCAACCUUUGCUCUCUUGCUCUUCCUCUUUUGCCUUUCCUCCACUUCUCAAUCGCUUCUCUGUUUCACGUGAAAAAACCCUUUCUUUACCAAAUGGAACUCUUAUAUAUAUUCCCACUUUAUUAUUCCAAUUUAUAUUAUUCCAAUAAUAAUAAUAAUAAUUCCAAUAAUAAUCCAAUUAUUUAAUUAAAUUAAUAAAUAUAUUAUUAACUUAAUUUAAAUAAUUAUCAUAUUUUAUCGGGGUGUUACAUGUUGGAUGCGUCUGAAGAUGCAUCUUUGAAAACUGGGGGACAUUUUAGAAAAUCGUGUGGUGCGUAAGAAGCAUAUAAGGUGCAUUAAGAAAUCCUCUUAUAUUUGUUGAUGUUGGGUUAUAUUUGUUGAUGUUGGGUUAUAUUUGUUGAUGUGGCUAAUUGUUAUAGGGGAAUGAUAUUUAUAUAAAGGAUAAGGAUAGAAAGAUAGAAGGAUUGCGAUGAUAUUUAUAUAAAGGAUAAGGGUAGCAAGAGAGAAGGUUGAGAAUUAUUCAGUUAAGAACCAAAGUGGUUUGGAUAGAGAGAGAAUUGUCUCUUCUCUGAAGAGCGUAGCCUUGGGAUUGCAAGGGUUUAUUGUCUGCAAUAGUUAUUAUUUUUCCAUUAAUAAUACAAUUUCUUUUUCUCUGGUAUUUUGUUGGAAACUCUGGAUAAUUACACAUAAAGCCAAUGAUGGAGGACAUUUGGACUAUGAAGAUGGAAUCAUUAGAUUUUGUGGAGGCAAAUCUUGUUGGUUGGAUUUAUGUGGAUGGACAGUUAUUCCGAGUUAUUAAUCGUGGUCGCUCCAGGCGCUAUCCCAGGGUUCUCUCCCGGUGUGGUAACCCUCUGCUACGGAGGAGCGACUCGCAUCCUAGUUUUAAAUAACAGUCGGGAAAGCUGGGAUAGCAGGUUAUGGGAGCAAAGCGCUUCCUGACCCAUAAUAGUUUUCUGCUUUUAGAAUUUUUUAAAAACGAAAAGACCUUUUUAUCCGUAAAAAUAUUUAAAACUGGAAAAAUUUAUUAUAGUCGUUCAUAUUUUCUCCUCUCAUUCAUGUUUUCACCUUUCUCCAUCGUGUUUCUUCUACAUUUUUCGCUUGCUACUUCUCUUGCUACUUCUCUUGCCCUAACUCCUCCUCCGCCUCAACUGCUUCAACCUUGUCUCUACUUCUAUUCUUCUUUUUCUCUACUUUUUUUUCUACUUUUCUAUUUUGUUCUAUAUCCUAUUCUUUUGCAUUUAUUGUUUUUCUAUUCGUUUUUAGAUUGUUUUUUCUUUUAUAUUAUUGUUUUUUUUUCUUUUAAAAUAUAUUGAUUUUGAGAUUAAUAUAUAUAAAUUAUUCAUAUAAUUAAUCCAAAAAAAAAAAUAAUCUACCGAUAUACUCCCUCCGUUCUUUUUUAAGUGUCACUUUCUUGAAAAAAAAAAGUUAUUUCUUUUUAAUUGUCACUUGCAAAGUUUAAGGUAGUAUUAAAUAUACUUUUGUCAAAAUUACCCAUAAAUAAUUAUUACAGAGAGAGAAAAAGUAAUUGAAAUGUAAUAAAUAAUUAAGGGUAUUAUAGGUAAAAAAAGAAUUAUUGAUUGAAAACUAAUAAUAAUAAUUAAAUGUCUUGGUAUGCGUAAAAAGUAAAAAAAAAAUCUUAAAAAAAAACAAAAGAAGUAUAAUUAAUCUAAAAAAUUAUCCUUCUAUGAUUUCGCUAUCCCAUUUUUGGAUAGACCUUUCCACUAUUUAGAAUUAAUAAUUAUGCAAUAAUUUGACAAUAACAAAAUCCAUUUUGAGUAUAAAUUGCAGGGGACAUUCAUGAGCAUGGAAGAUGAAGGAUCAAUGUUAUGGUUUUGUCAUUGGUGUGAAGAGAAUCUAGAUUCUGAUUGGAAUUUAUUUGGAGCAUAAAUGGUACAAAAUCAAGAAACAAAGUCGAAACUGUUUCAUUGUUGAACAAGAACCAAAACGUUAUACAAAAGUAGAAUCUGACUUCAAGAGAUUGAUGAUACAUGAAUUCAAACGGAUUACCGAAAACGAGGAACAAGAGCCAUGUUUAACGGAAGAAUGAAUGAGAUCUAAAGAAGAAAGCAGCAUGUGUUUGUUUUUGAGCCACCCGACGCCAACCUUUAUGUGAUUGUUGUCGAACUCCAUUGGAUAAAAAUACCCUUAUAUAAAUAAUUUAUUAAAAGUUAAAAAUUAUAAUAAAAAAUAUAAAAGAAUUAUUAUUUAAUUUUUUAAAAAAAAAAUUCGAUACACAAAAUAAAUAUUAAAAAUAUUAAAAAACUAACUAACGAAAGUUUUUAAAAAAGUUUACCGAUACAUAAAAUAAAUGUUAAAAAUGUUAAAAAAAUUGAUUAACGAAACUCUUUUCUAAAGUCUUCAUACACACACAAAAUUAAUGUUAAAAAUUGACUAACGAAACUUUUUUGCAAAGUCUUUCGAUACACAAAAUAAAUAAAAAAAAAUGAGUAUCAUAAUAAAUCUUUUGCAAAGUAUUAUGAUAUGCAAAAUAAAAAGUUAAAAAACAUUAAAAAAUUGAUUACCGUAAUUCUUUUGGAAAGUCUUCCGAUAUAAAAAAGAAAAAUUAAUAUUAAAAACUGACUAUCGAUAUAUAAAAUAAAAGUAAACAAAUAUUUAAAAAUUGAUUAUCAAUUUUUUUUUAAAAGUCUUUUAAAACACAAGAUACAAAUUAUUUUUUUAUUUUAAAAAUAAUAAAUAAAUUAAAAAUAUAUAUGCGAUAUUUUUAUAAAAUAUAGAUAUAAAAAGAAAGGUAGGGAUAUAACUUAAAAUUCUAUUUAUGUUGUUGGGAUAUAUUUGCUCAUGUGACUAGAGAGCAAUGAUAAUUAUAUAAAGGAUAAGGAUAACAAAAGAGAAAAGUAAGAAUUAUUCAAUUUGGAAUCGAAAUAGUUUGAGCAGAGAAAGAAAUGUCUCUUCUUUGAAGAGCUCAUUGUCUAUAUAAGUUUUUGUUUUUUCAGUAAUAAUAUAUUUUUUUCUUGAAUUUGGAUUCUUAAUGUAUGCACAAUUUCCAUUUAUAAUACAAUUUAUUUUGAAUUUGAAUUUGGGUUCCCAAUGUAUACGCAUUGAAAUCAAAGAUUUGAGUCCUUGUAUCGGUGAGAAAUUGUCGUAUCAAUGUGGUGACAAAGACUAAUAAUUAUCUCUCUCUCUUGUCAUGUUAAUUAUGAACUAUUGGUUUAGGAUCAAGAAUUCAUCUAUAUAUGAUUUGGGCAAUGACUGAAAAGGUAAAGUAUACGAUUCAUUCAUUAUUUUUUCCCUUUAAACAAUUAGUCUUGGAUGAAACACACUAUUCUUUCACACAAUUGAUAACUAGGCAAACCUGAAUUGUAAACAUUUAGGGGGAUUAUUAGUUUGGCAAUUGUGAAGUCUAAAAUACUUUUUUUCUCUAUACUGCACUGAUGCAAUCUAAUCUAAUGAUAUGUAGAGGGGGGAGAUGAUCCAUUGGCUUUGUGGAGGGGAUUGCACCCAAACUUUCUUUAUAUAUAUCUCUAACAAUCCACUCUCUCACCUCACUUUAUCCUCCCUUUUUUCUUUGUUUUCCAAUUCUCUCUCCACAAAAAAUGCCUAAAGUCAAGCAAAGUUAGAGAAGAGAAAGUUAGAGAAUCUCAAUUCCAUGCAAAGGAGAGGAUCCGCUGACUUUGUGAAGGAGACUGCACCCUAACUUUCUCUAUAUAUCUCUCUAACAAUCCACUCUCUCACCUCUCUUUUCCCUUUUUUCUCUAUUUUUAAAUUCUCUCUCCAAAAGAAAUGCCUAAAGUCAGGCAAAGUUAGAGAAGAGAAAGUUAGAGAAUCUUAAUCCCAUGUAAGGGAGAGGAUCCACUGACUUUGUGAAGGAGACUGCACCCUAGCUUUCUCUAUAUAUCUCUCUAACAAUCCACUCUCUCACCUCUCUUUUCCCUUUUUUCUCUGUUUUUCAAUUCUCUCUCCACAAGAAAUGCCUAAAGUCAUACAAAGUUAGAGAAGAGAAAGUUAGAGAAUCUCAAUCCCAUGUAGGGGAGAGGAUCCACUGACUUUGUGGAGGGGAUUGCACCCUAACUUGCUCUCUAUAUCUCUCUAACAAUCCACUUUCUCGCCUCUUUGUUCCCUUUUUCUCUGUUUUUCAAUUGUCUCUCCACAAGAAAUGCCUAAAAUCAGGCAAAGUUAAACAAUCUCAAUCCCAUGUAGGGGAGAGGAUCCACUGACUUUGUGGAGGGGAGUGCAUCCUAACUUUCUCUUUAUAUCUCUCUAACAAUCCACUCGCUCACCUCUCUUUUCCCUUUUUUCUCUGUUUUUCGAUUCUCUCUCUACAAGAAAUGUCUAAAGUCAGGCAAAGUUAGAGAAGAGAAAGUUAGAGAAUCUCAAUCCCAUGUAGGGGAGAGGAUCCACUGACUUUGUGAAGGGGACUACACCCUAACAUUCUCUCUAUAUCUCUCUAACAAUCCAUUCUCUCACCUCUCUUUUCCCUCCUUUUUUUCUCUGUUUUUCAAUUCUCUCUCCAUAAGAAAUGCCUGUUAUUACCUGAAGCAAACCAUAUGAGACUUAAACACAAUAUUUUGAGAUUACAUGUAUGUUUGAAUGAGCGGUGAGAUUGAAAAAACACAGUGCCACCGUAAUUGUGAAAGCGAAAGUAUUGAUCUAAAUUAACAAAGUAGAGACAAAUCAAACACAGAAAAAUGUGAUAGCACCUUUUCCACUAUAAUUCGGUACAAAUAUAUUGACAAUAUUUGUUUCCACCUUUAUAGGUUCUUCCAAAUCCUUGGCUAAAAAUCAAAAAUACAUUCUAUUUUUGGAGAUGCAUUUCCAAAGACACUCAUUUUUUACAAAAUUGAAUGCCAACGAGUAAGACAUCCCAAUUAUACCUAAUUUUUGUUCGGAGAUGCAUCACCAAAUAUUUUUUUGAUAUAUUUCGAAGAUGCAUAUUCAAAAGUAGCUCAGAUACUUCAAACCAGAAACAAUGACAAUAUGAGAAAGAUUUAGAAACAAAAUCAACUUGACAAAAAAUUGAAACACUCAACAUUACAUAGAUAGUAUAGUUGUUAACGUAAAUUUAACAUUAGAGAUAGUUACAAACAAGUAGUUCAGGAUGUUGCAACAUAUUGAUAAUAUCAUCGGAGAAUCUUUCAAUCUUUGCAUCCACUUCAAUCGAAGCAUUUGAUGCGUAACGGUAAAAUGUACUCCAAAUGACCUGUAAAUCUUCAUUCGUCUUUAGUUCAAAGUUGGUGAACUGUAUCUUCCCUUCGCUGUCAAUCGAUGAUGAACGAUACUCAAGCUUGAUAACUCUUUGAUUUUCUGGAUAUCGCAGGAGAGUAUUCAGUUUAGUUUUCAGAUCGACGAGAAGUAUGUCGUCGCAGAAUCGAAAUUGAAGUGAGAGUUUUACACAAUUGAAAUACACAAAUGCUUUUAAGAAUAAUAAGUCAAGUGUGAGUUGGAGUUCCGCAUUAGUUAUAAAUGUGGAAAUUUGAUCAUUUAUAAGUGGGAGAAUCCACACACAUAUCACCUUAAGGUUUUUGGUGAAUAUGUGGUGUCUCUCUCACUUGUGUUUUGCUCUUAGUCCAAUGUUGAUGCUCCUUCUCAUGACCCAACAAAUGGUAUUAGAGUCUAUGGGGAUAUGCAUUCAUUAUCUUGUUGUAAAAAAAACAUGGGUUGAGAGACACCCUAUUUAUACAAGUACUGAGUCACUUUGGACCUCAAAAACCUUAUCAUGACAUCAGGUCACUUUUCAGAUCUCUGAUUAAACCCUGAUUUUUUACGAAAAAAUGGUGUUAACGGAUAUGCAUAUCCGAAAAAUUCUUGGAUCAUUUUUUUCAAUAUGUAUGAGGUUUAUUCGGAUAUACAUAUCCGAAAUUUACCCUGAAGCAGAAUCAAACUAGAACUUGUGUCUGCAAAAACAAAAAAUGCAAACCAUAAAAUUUGUAAAAUGAAAAAGUCGACAUUAACAUCGUCAUUGUUGAAUAAAUAUUACUAAAUUGUUAAUUGAUAAACCAUCCUAAUGAAAGCGCUAUUUAAAUGACUUCAAAAAACUUUUCAGAGAUGUAUCUGCAAAUUCACCCCAGAAAUCUUUCUUCGCAUAUGUAUCUCUGAACUAAAUUUUAACAAAAACUUGAAUUUGAUAAGUUCGAAUAUGCAUCUUCGAAAAAGUAUAGAGUCAUUUUUGAAUUUUCAAAGGUGCGGCCCACACUUCAUAAAAGUGAAAAAAGAAAUUGCGAAAUAUAUUUUGUUUACAUCAAAGGUAGAGAAAGUUAAUUCCAAGUUUGUUUAACUAUUUAUCCUCCAAAAGAAAUGGCCCAGUUGACAUAACUAUUCUAAAAGGGAUUUACGGAAAUUGGGUUUUCUUGAAAUUCAGUGGUUUUAAGUUAAGUGGUUUUUAAAACAAGUGAAUUUGCAAUGGUAUCAAUCAUCCAUAUCAGUAUUAGCACCGUGAAACAUGUUAACUCAUAAUGCUGCUUAUUCUCAUGAGAUUAAAUCCAUAUCUGUACUAGUACUUUGUUAUGCAUCCAUACAUGUUUUGUUUAUGAUGGCAUGGAAAUAGUCACUUCUUCCAAAACAAAUCAUAUGGUACAAUAACAUAAAUUUUGGACACUACAUUUCAUAUAAAACAAUGAAUUGCAACCGUCUGUAUUUACUAGUACUAGUUUCAUGAUUCCAACUACAAGUUUUCACCAUCAUCACUACUGUCAACUGAAGAUAAACUACAAAAUUUUGAGUGGGUAAGCAACAUGCCAAAUCUUCGCCACCUAGACUGGACAACUAAAGAAGUUUCAGUCCACCUGUUACCUCGUCUACCACUUCAACAGGUCCUGCACAUGAAUAUCAUGUUAAAAUCGAACUAUCUUGAGCUAUAUAAAAAGAAAAGGAAAAGCUAAACUGGCAUCGGAAAAAAAUGGUCAUUGUAUUAGAGAAGAGUAUUACCGAGAAUCGCCAUCACCGUUCUGGAAUCUAGAAGGAAAAAAAAACUAUCAUAAGCAUUAAAUAUAAACUAACAUUAUACCGGACAAAAAUAGAAUAUGUAACAAAAGAAGGUUAUUCAUUCUGAGUACUUUUUAAAAUGUAAAUCCACCUAUAUUAUUUCAGACACAGUUAUAAAGUCCAAAGGAACCAACUGCACAUCUCUUUUCUUCAGAAUACAAGGAUGAACCAGCAUUUUCAAGCAUGGAUUUCAUUAUUAGGGGAUUGCUUGAAAACUAUCUCUAGUUUCAGUUCUAGUUGUACUGGCUUCUACAGACACAGUUUAAUUGAUAUAUCCAGACAAUUAUAGUACUUGAAUAUUUACAUCAACUAUCAAGUGUUAGACGUUAAUAAUUUUUUCAUAUUUCCGUUAGGAAGAUAAAGAACACAAACACAGGUAAAAGUUCCAAUUAUAUGGCAAAACACUACACAUCAGUCAGAUAACAAUGGAAUAAGAGUAGUUUGAAAUACUUACUCGGUGCAAUCUGUGUUCGCCCCGCAUCAAUUGUGAUAUGAGUAGGUAACUUCAGAGAUUUAGCCCUUUCCUAACACAUCAAAUGACAAUUUCACUAAAUCAAAAUCUAUCUUAUAGAUAGGAGAGUCAUACAUAAUGCAUUUGACUUAAAAUUUAAGAUAGUUCGGAAGAUAAACAUGUAAGAACCUGAUUUGGAGAAAUUGAUGCGGAUGGAAUGAGAAGACAUUUAUUUGUAGACAAAGAUGAUACCAAUCAUAAAUCAAAUAUAGUUUAUAUAUUAUCUGCUAUUUGAGAUUUUGAUGAUAUGCUGAAUGCAUUAUAAAACUUGUUUCUGCUAUUCUUUUUGUUAAAAUAAAAGACCUGGUGAUUUACACCCUCAUAGAUUACUACAAUUUCUAACUAGGCUUAUUAAACCUUUCAUAGGAGUUACUUUAAUAAUAAUAAAUGACAUAUCUAACUUACAAGUUUAACAAACCGGAUGCAAUCCAAGUAUUAUUAGAAUAACAUAUAAGAAAUAUAAAAUGCUCAUUUACUUUGAGUUCAAUGUUGUAACACAAGCUAUGAACACUUCAGCUUUUAGGGUGGCCAAUUUUUUUAUGCUAUCGAUACCUCUCUCCCAGACCAUUCAUUGUUUAUAACAUGAUUUACAAACUCUUAUCCAAAGCUUUCAUAUCUGUAACUUCUUUUGUACUUUUCCAUACAAUUUAGUACAAACUAAAGAUAAUUCAAUUAAUCUUUUCAGCCUAACAAAUUAAAAGGAUAUUUUUCUUUAAAAUUGGGCAUUUUUUUAAAUCAAAAUUUUUCCGUUGAAUACUUUUCACCACUUCCUCUCCCUUCCCAAUCAUCAUAUACAGCCCGAAUUAUAAACUGUUACUAUAGAGACCUUUCACUUCAUUUAUGUUAACUAGCAAUCCCAGACACCAAACUUUGCUUUUUAAUAUAUAUAAGCCACAGUAUUCUUUUGGACAGCUUUAAAACCUAUAUGAUUGCAAUUGUCGGUAAGCAUAUAGGUGCAUUUUCUAAGUUUGAAGUUUGCAGAUAAGGUUUUCACAGUUAAGCCCAAGUUUCAUGCCUCGCACCUCAACGAAAGCAUCCCUUUCCUAGUCCUCCUUUUCAUUUGUUGUCAUAAUCACAAUCAAUAACUGACCAAAGUAUAGUGAGCAGGUAUCCAGUAAAAACGUAGAAAAAUUCAAAGAGAACUUAGCUAAUGUAGCACAAGAUUUCCCUAAGAAUCAAACAAUACAUACUUGCAAAGCCAGCAUAUCUUCUUCACUUUCAAUUUUGACAACAACCUUGGGCUGCGCAGACAUCUCCCACCUGCACAUUCGCAUUGAAAACUGAGAAUGAAGUUACACAAUUCAAGAUGACCAAAAGCUCAACCAGUGACAGUACCUAUUUAAAGCCUUUGGAGCUCGAUAAAGAACCUUUUUGUAGAGACCCAACGUUGCAUGACUACAAAAAGAAAAAGAGACAGAAAACUGAGCUAGAACCAUUAAACGUGUUUUUUGCAAUAUAAAAAAUAAAUAAGCAACGAAAAAACAAAAAUAGGAGCAAUAAAUAUGUCCACCCUUCACAUGGAUGAGGGAUCUCUAUGCCAGGAUGCUUCUGCAACAAACUAGAGAAAUAGAGAGUUUUAUUACCCUAAUGUUCACACUCUAAGCAAUAGUAAUCUAUUUGGAAGGUACUCACAGUUUCAAACAAACAGCCGCUGAUUGGAUUGGCUUAUUCAAACUUAAUUACAGCAAUAACUACCUAUGAUGCUAGUUGAGAGAGCAUAUAGAAACAACUUAGGAUUAUUUUCACAAGUUAUCCCGGAUAGCUUAUACAAACAGCUUAUAAGUAAGUUAUAGCUUAUAUAAAAACAUUUAGGCUUUAUUCUAUAUUUCAUCAUAAAAAACUUAUACAUAAGCACUUAUAUGAUAAACACUUAGCUAAGUUGUUUAACCAAACAAAACCAAAGUAACAUUAGCAAAGAUUACAUACCUGCAUUGAGCUGCAAUUUUUCCUUUACCCAUUUUAAGAUCAUUUCGAACAACGAGUAUCUACAAAAAAAUAAUAAUAAUAAUAAUUUUUAGACAACCCAUCAAAAUAAAAUUAGUAGGUUAGAAAAAAAAUAAUUUUUUUUUGUGAUUUACCAUCUUAAAAUCCUCGAGAAUUUCCGCGAGCUGUUCAACCUCAAGUGAGUCUUUGAUUUUGGACUUACUAUUCUUCUUCUGCUUACUGUUAUUGUUGUGAUUGAGAAGUGAAUCAUCUUUCUCUUUAAGGGAUGAAAAUCUAUUCGAGAAAAAGAAACGAUGGGGAUAGUGAGAACCAAUGAAGUAGCCGAAAGCGAGAUAACCGGCGCCGACCAAAAUUGCACUCAACCAUGAUACUUCCAUUUCAAUCACUUGAGAAGAUGAAGAUCACGGUUGGGAUUUUAGGGUUCUGAAAAGGGGAUUUUAGUAAUUAAUAAAAUAAAGUAAAAACACACUUUACUUUCGGCAACAACAACAACAACAACACCGAAUGAAUUAACUCUUUGAAAACUUCUACUUACACCCUUAUAAACCUAAUUACUAGCUAUUUAAUUAAUAGAAUGCCAAAAGGACUCCUAGGAUGUCACAAACUAAAAAACAAAACAAUAAUUUUAAAUUUGCAAGAUGUUUUUACGGGAUAAAAAAACUAAAUUCUUAAAAAUAAAUAAAUUGUGGCUAAGGAUGUAACUCAAUUUUAGAAAAGAGGGAAAGUGGAUUAAGAUAUCAACUUUAAAAGAUAUCUUGAAUUUAGUUAUGAGAUCAAUAUUUUGAUUGUCUUUGUAGAGGUAGGGAUAACUCUAUACAUGUUGUUUUCGGUUUAAGAUAUCUUAAAUAUUCGAGAUCAAUAUUGCAUGUUUAGGAUAUUUAUUCAAGGGAUUCUUGAUGAGCUUGAUUCGAAAGAAGAGUCUAUGUAGUAUGAUGAGUUAAUAACUUUCAUAUCUUUGACUAAUGAGAGUCUUUCGUGAAUGAUCCAAAGUUCUACUUAGAGGAUAUUUGUAUGGAUUGGUAUGAAACGAGAGAACUUGCAUUGUCAGGUCCCAUAAUAGUUGCAAAAGAUAUCACUUAAGUCAAUACGGUUUGGUGUGUCAUUUUAACUUCCAUCAACAUUAAUAAUAGUGCAUGAGAAGUUGUGGAAAUUGCACAUUUUGCUUCGUUAAAGUUUUACUAAACCAAGUAUGAAAGGAGUGAAGGAGAAUAGCGAUCCAAAAUGCAACGGAAAUUAAAAAAUUCUCCUUCAGUGAUCCUUACGAAUGGGCAUGAUCAGUGAUAGAAUCGUUACCUCUUGUGGCGAUUGAAACCCUUGAUGCAGAUCGAAUGAGUGAUCAUGAACGUUGAAUGGUGACAACGCCUCUACUCAGUCCACACGAACGAAUUCCUUCAGUCUCAGUGUUAGCUGCUACGAAUGAAGGCUUUGAGUGAAAGAAAGAGAGAAACAAAAUUUUCAUCUGAUUCAAUGUUUCUGCACAAGGGUUCUAUUUAUAGAACCACUUAUGUGGGUUGUAAGCUAAAAUGUCAACUUAAAUGUAUGUGGCUCAUAUCUUAUGAUAUACCAAAAUCACUUAAGCGCGUGGUACCUUACCAUAUUUCGUAUUCUACUUAAGUGCAUUGUACCUUACGAUGUUCUACAAUUCACUUAAGUGCAUCGUACCUUACGGUGUUCCUUAUUUACUCUAUCUCUCAUCAAUCUGUCCUUUUGUGUGUGACCCUAUAGGUUUUCGCGGCAUUGGCGAUUAUAUUAAAUCACGCAUUUAACAUAAUAAAUAGUGAGCAGUAUUUAGCAACACAUCACUGCUACCCAAGACACGAAAAUGUCAUGUGAUCUGACAAAUCUUUUUGUGAUAAUAGUUAUGUGUGUAAUUACCCUUUUGCACUUAUGUCUAUAUUGAACACAAGGCAUAGACCGUGUCAUCCUUGUCCAGUUCAAUAUUGGGCCCUUAGACAUUCAUCCUGUUAUGCAGGAUGGGCAAAUUCCAUCUAGGUCACUCAUGUCCUUCAACAUGCUUCAUUGAGUACCCAUCAACUGUCUUUAUGUUCAUCCAAUUACGAACAAUGUUUGAUCAGCAAUAAAGCACUCGACUCUACAUCUAGGGUCCAUAGUGGUUUCAGGUCGAAGGGUGGUAUACACCACUAUCACCAUGAGAAUAACUUAUGACACUUUGCAUAACAUUCUAUUAGUAUUUCAUAGCGGGACAAUCUAGUAUAAUAUUACUCAUAAUAUUCAUACUAUGUUUAGACUUGAUAACUCCUAUCCAUGAUCCAUAAGAUGUGAUCAUCAGUUCUAUUAUAACAUAAUAAUCUUUAAUGCUUUAAUAUUAUCCACUUUCACAAUAAAACUCAACUACGGAUACUUUAAGAAUAGUUGUUCUUAUGUUUAUGGGAAUUUCAUUGAUUAAGUCAACUUGAUACAUUAAAACAGGACUAGUGAUAUCUUAGGACGUUUAUUAAACAACUAUUAAAGAAAAGCUUUUUAUAUUAAUAAAUAAUUCGAUACAAGUACCAAAAAGUAUUGGGCCUCUAGGUGCAUUACACCAACAAUAUCCACGUAGCACUAGAGUCAUCAGGCAUACCUAAUGCCCAUAGGAUCUUAGUAUGCCCAUCAUGGCUUCUGUGCGCCAAAGGGCUUUGUCAGUGGGGUCAGCAAUAUUGUUCAAGUGUAGUUACUCUGCAUAUUUUCCAUUCACCUCUAUCUUUUAUCUCUCGAUGGAGGUUGAUAACUCCUAAGUAUGUUGUUUGGAUCGUUGGUUGAGAUUUUAGUGGCUCCUAGCUGUGCGAUAGGCACCAUUGUUAUCACAAUAGAGACCAAGUCCAUAAUGCUAGGACUAUGACAAGUUCACUAAUGAACUUUUGAUUCAAACAACGUUUCUUUGCUGCAUUGAGGCAAGUUAAUAUACUCGGCCCGUUGUAAAAUUAGCAACUGUAUGUUGCUUUAACGUUUUUCCAGCUCACAGCGCCACCGUUUUAAGCAAAACACAUAACCAGAUUGCAAUCUAAAGUCAUCCUUAUCUGUCUGGAAGUAGUCGGCCUGUAUCCAAUUACAGUCAGCUCUUCUUGACCUUCCAUUAUAUCAAGAAUGAGUUCCUUAGUCCUUCUAAUAUUAAGGAUAUUCUUGAAGCUACCGUAAGCAUCCCGGGAUCAGAUUGGUUACUACUCGUUGCACUAAAGCAUACGAGACAUCUGAUCGAGUACAUAAUAUGGCAUACAUUGAUAGAUUCUAUUGCAGAUACAUAUGGAAUCUUAUUCAUGUAUCCCUUUCUUCUAGUGAAGGUAUUUGUUUUUGAUAGACACGGGCCAUGUUGCAUAGGUAUUGAAUCCUUUUCGUUGGGUCAUGCAUAUUAAGCAUUCAGCACUUUGUUAUGUAUGUACUAUGACUUAGGCCAAAAUUUUGUGAUCUAUCUCUAUAGAUUUUGAUUCCUAAUAUUAGGCUGCUUCCCAGGUCCUUCAGUAGAAAAGGCAUUUUCCCCAACCAAGACUUUACUUGUUGCAGGGUAGGGACUCAUUUCCCAAUGAGUAAUAUGUCAUCGUACAUAUAAUACCAGGAAGACGAUCAUGCUCCCACUAACCUUCUUUAGCACCAAAGGCUCAUCUUCAUCGUGAUGAAUCCAUAUCGUUUUAUAUUCAUCAAAACGAAGAUUCCAGCUUCUGGAAAGCUUGCGUUCAAUCCAUAGAUUGAUCUUUGUACUUAGUAUUAUCUGAGGUCUGGUUGUCAAAUCGUUCAGGUUUAUGUGCAGUACACACUCCUUCAAACAAGUUCCCUAGGGAAAGCAGUUUGACAUCCACUACCAUAUUUCAUAAUCAUAUAUGCAGCGAUAGCAAGUAAAAUCCGAAUAGAUUUUAAAGCAUGCAACUGGUGAAAGGUUGUCAUCAUAUUCAAACCCAUGAAGUUUGUUUAUAUCCUUGCAACCAGUCUUGCUUAUAGGUAUGUGACUUACCUGUCUAUGUUGUCUUUCUUUUUGAAGACCCACUGUGCAUCCGUUAGGGUUAACUCCUCAUGGAGGAUCUACCAAGUGUCCAAACCUUGGUUUGUGUACAUGGAAUCCAUUCAAAUUUCAGUUGGUUCUAGCCACCUCUCGGACUCGGGACCAAUUAUAGGCCUCUUGGUUAGUGUUGUCCCCUAAAUUUCCCCUCCUAUUUCUCACCGUAUUGUAAUCUAAUCACUUGAGUCAAGAGUGACUUGCAUACAUCCAUAACUCAUCCACAUGCAUCAUUCCUUAUGAUUUCAAAAGAAAGUGGCCCAUAUAGCUACGGGCUCACACAGGUAUCAAAGUCCAAAGGCAUGGGUUGAUCACAUCAUCGAGCAUAAGGAAUGUGAAACCCUAAUGAGGGUAGUGAAAAGACUUGAUUCAACAAAGGUGGAACCAAUCCUUCUGGGGUCCUUUAAAGCUCUAAUUCUCAAGAACAUGAUCUCAUGAAGCUUCCCUAACCCUUGUCGUGGGGUCUUCAAAACCCUGAUGUAAGGAUUUGAUGAUUGAAACACUUAUGUUCGGAUAAUAGCAAGGGACUUGCUUUAGGGGGUAAAGGNNNNNNNNNNNNNNNNNNNNNNNNNNNNNNNNNNNNNNNNNNNNNNNNNNNNNNNNNNNNNNNNNNNNNNNNNNNNNNNNNNNNNNNNNNNNNNNNNNNNGGGGGGGUGAAUUAGGUGGUUAAAAAUUCUUCGAUCUUGUUUCCGGUUUUUGGUUAUUUUUCGUUUAAGUGCGGAAAAAUAAAUUGCGGAAAGUAAAAAGACACCGGAAUUUAUAGUGGUUCCCUUCACAAUCCGAAGGUACAUCCACUCCCCUUUCGACUCGAAAGAGAUUUCACUAUAGUUAGAAUUAUUGUACAGCCUACUCACACCAAUGGUGAUGCUUACUAUCUAACCUAUAGAUAAUCAAGUGUGCAAGAACAAUCCUCUUGCAACACCAACCCUUGUGUCCAACAAUCCUGGAUCACAAGUCAAACAGAAAUAAAUCUUUUUGAUGAUUUGAAUAAAGUGUAGCACUAUCAAUCUUCUCUUGAUUGAUCUUCUCCUUAGAUAAAUAAUUCACUCAAUGAAUAAUAUAUAAGUGUUCAACAAUAAAUGGAAUGAGAUGAAACAAGAAUGUUCAAAAGUUUCUUCUCAAAAUUUUGGUUAUGAACACUUUUAUGAAAUAUUGAAAAUAUGAAAGAGUGAUUAUCUUAAGUUUUUAUGAAAGUUCUUGGAGGUGAAUUUUCAUUUAAAAAUUCAAGAAUUUAUAUUGACAAAACACCUUUUCAAAGAGGUAUAAUUUUCUUUAUAAAAAAAAUGAAAAGGUAUAAGUUUUUGAAAAACAUUUUUCACUGAAACGAACAGUGUUAACCGGUUAACGCGUAUAACGUUAACUAACGAAGUUCAAAAACAGGGCUGUUAACCGGUUAACCCAUAUGGUUAACCGGUUAACACUGUUGAAAUGCAGAAAAAAACUUUAAGAAAAUGUGUCUUUCAUUUCAACAUGUUAACAAAUGGUUCGAUUUAAAAAUGGAAAUGCAAAAUAUGAUUGUUGAACACUUGUAUACUAAUCUAAGAGUGAAUUAGAUAUACCUUAGAAGUGAAUCAACAAACUUGCACAAGUGUUGGCUUGAAAAAAGAAGCUUGAUCAAAAUGUUGCUUAUGCAUAUGUGGCUUGAUCAAUUUGAUGCUUGAAUUCUCUUGAAGCUCUUCUCUUUUUGCAUUGAUACAUGUUGUCUUCAUCAAAGUUCUUUUGGAUUGAAGCAUGCUUCUACAAGAUUCACAUUUAGACUCGAAGAAUACCGUUCAAUAUACAUAAAUGCUAAAAUGUCAUAGUUUUGACAUCAUACAAAACAUUUAUAAUAUGAAGGUGCACUCACAUACUCCCCUUUUUUGAUGAUGGCAAAACUUACGACAAUGCAUUUGAUGUCUUCAUAAAGGCUCCCCCUGAAUGUGUGUAUCAUAGCUUGCAUCUGUUUUUCCCCUUUGAAAUAACUGAUAUUGAUGUCAAAACUUCUCCACAUAUCUUGAUUUGAUUCACCAGUUUGGUAACCCUAGUGAAAAAAUCAGUUAUGCUUUCAUUGCCUUCCGUCCGAAGCAAUUCAUAUGUUCUUUUGUGAGUUUGUAACUUCACUUAUUUCACAUUUUCUGCGUCUUCAAACGAUUUUUCAAUAAUUUUCCAUGUUUUUUUCGAUGGUUCAACAUCACUAACCUUUUCGACACUGUCUGCAUCUACGCAUUGAUGGAUCAUAACGAGAGCUUUAUAACUUUUUUCUUCAAUUCUCUGUGUCCAACAUUUUCUUCAUCUGUCGCGUUUGCUGCAAACUGCGCCAAACCCUCCUUCACAAGAUCCCAAAGAUCUCUAUAGCAAAAAAUAACAUUUACCUGCAUGCACCAAUUCUCAUAAUUUUGAUUCUUCAGAAUUGGGAGACUCGCCGGAAAAUGUGCAUUCAGAUGAUUCAUCACCAUCGUGUUUUGCUUCCCACGAAUCGCUCAAUCAGUGCUCUAGACACCAGAUGUUGGAAAUUCACCAAUUCCCCUUCAAGAAAUUCACCAAAAACUAUGGAGAAUUUCGAACUAAAUCUUGUUGAACAAGAAUCAAUCUUUUUGAUUGAUUACUCAUUUUAUUCUUCACUUUUUACUCGAGUGAAUCAACCACACUAGGUUGCGAGAUUUCGUUGCAUAAUGGUAAUGAAAAGAAGAAAAAUUGAAUUGGAGAAGAAAGAGAGAUUAUGGUUUUCGAAUAAGGAAGAAGAAGAAAUUUCUGCAAAAUAACUCUCUGCUCUCAAACUGAGAUUUUAUUUCUUUGCAACUGCAAAUAUGUGCUCAAUUACAAUCAAUAAGAGUUACUACUUAUUUAUAGAUUUUGGGCUUGCUUGCUUCUAAAGCAAAACCCAAAUACCUACUAAUGUUGCUAAUAUUGCAAAGUUAGACAUACAUAAAAAUCCAUGCUGAAGCUAACUCCUCAACACUUCAACACAUAAGUGUUUUGAUAGCAACAAACUUCGACAUCAUAAAUUACAUUCUCAAUAUUUUUUAUCAAUUGAACUAGAAUUUACUGAAACAUAGCUAUGUUUUAUUUAAGGAGAAAUGCAUCUACAUAUAUUUAAGAAAUCAAUUUAUUUUAAAGUAAAAAUAAAUAUCAAAUCUUAGUUUUCACAACACAAGUAUACACCUAUCAUAUAAAGAAAUGGAUUAUGCAUUUUAAUUUUCAAAACAUAUUUCUUUAUUAAAAAGCUAGCACAAGUAAUAAUGGAGAUAGGGGGUGUACUUUUGAAAGAAAAAAGAAGGAAGAUGUAUUAGUAAAAGCAAAUCCUAUGUUUUGGUGUACUAGAAAAAAUGGUUCAGCCCAAACGUAUGUUUUUGUCCGAAAAACAACAACAUCGAGAUUUGCCGUCAAGGGUGGCGAUGACGGCGAUGAUUCCUUAAGCUCUUGGCUUUCAAAGGUUCCAUCUUUUACUCUUUUUCAUAUCUGAAUCGUUAAUACAAACCCUAGGUACAACGGUUAUGUGUUUUGAAAAGUGAAAAUGUUUUUUUUACUAAUUGAGGUUUCAAAGCGAUAAUACUUACUGAUAUUCUUUCAAUGGAAUCACAUUAUGUUCAUUUUGCUAAAGUUUUAGGGUUUUUUAUUGUGUGAAUUCUAACUCACCUAGAAGCCACUUCAUAACUGAUUUUGAUUUUUGAGCCUCUUUUUUAUCUGGCAGAACAUUUCCAGCAUCUAAAGUUAUUGUGCUGAAAUCAUGUGUGAUUGUCAAUAAGGAUUUCCUAUUCCUCAAAUCAGAUGGCUUUUUUGUUUCAGAAAUUUCAAGAGGUAUCUUCUUAUCUUAUGCUUUACUUCAAAAGUAGUUACUUAUUUGCAGUGAUUAUAGCAAGACAUGUUUAAGUUAUCAAUAUUCAUAUGUUUAAAAUUGAAAAGACUUAGAAACGACAACAGUUUUAUAAGUAGAAUCGUUGUAAUAGAAGAAAAUAAUGUUUUACUUUUACCGAUUGUCCGUGGUUUUAGGCUAAUUUAAAGUUCAGUUUUUAUCUGUUGUGCAUCCUGUGAAGUUUAUUACAAAAGUCUUGAUUUUGAUUUGUUUUCAGGCUGUGAAAACCCUUGCCAAAAGUCCCACUUUUGCUUUUGCUAGGGAUCCAAGACGACUACAGUUUGAAGUCGAUCUUAAUCGUUUGUUCCUCUAUACAAGGUAAGUGUUUUUUUUGUCGUCUGCAUUUAAAAUUCAAGGGUGCAUUAAACUAGUUAUACAUUGCUAAUUAUUACUCCCUCUGUGCCAAAACUCUAGUUGUUUAAGCAUUUUAGUUUUAUUUCAAAACUUUGUGUGUUUUAGAAACCCCAAGAUAUAUUUGACAUUUUUCUUCCAAAUAUACUCCUAAAUGUUGUUUACAAUAUUAUUUAUAAAUUUAUAAUGAGAUAUUUAUAGGUAUUUGUGAAGCAUUUAACUAGUACGAUAUUGACAUUUUGAUACUUAUAUACACACAUCAAUUAUAUGAUUCCUUAAGCUAUAAGCAAAUACCUUAAACAACUCAAGUUUUGGAAUGGAGGGAGUACCGACAAUGGUUGCAUACAAAAUGCCUGUUUUACACCCUCUACUUCUUGUGACCUAUUGUUAAUGUAUAGAAAUAGACUUGUCCUAGAUAGUGACCCUUCUAAGGAUACUACUAGUGAGAAAAUACUUGUUUCCUUCUGUUUAUUUAAUACAGCUUUUCUAAAGACUGUUAAUAAUAUUGGAAAGAGAUCCUGAAUGAUAGGAUUAUGCUGAUUAUGAUGUAAUCAGUAAAGUAAACAAAAUAUAAUAAAACAAUUAAGAAACAAAAUAAAAUCUGAUUAGGCUGCCGCUUUCUUUCUCUAUUAUUGCCACCUACAAAAGCAUCCACAUCAUCACUAUCUUAUCGGCUUUGAGCUUGUCCUCAAACCCUGGAUAAGCUUGUUGGAAGUGGUAUACCGGUUUCCAAAUGGCAUUUUCUUGAGGAUAUCCAGCUCAAUGCUCUUACAGCUCCUGUUUCCUGCUAUUGGUCCUACUGCAAAGAAUAGCAUGAGGAGUGGGUAAGGCUUUGCCGUUGUCAUGUAUGUGUGAUAAAUUUGGUAAUUCUCCUACAGCAGCUGGUUGGGAUCCUUCAUGCUCUUUAAGGAGAGGUGCAUCAAACACAUUCUGUUUUCUAUUGUCUGCAAGUAGCUAAAGCUUGUACACAAUAGAUCGUACGUUGGCUUGACACUUGACACUGAAAGGAAUAAAAUACUUUUGGAAGAAGUUUGAUGUUUUUGUUUAGCCAUUGUCGACUGGCAAUAUGAUUGAAAUUGUAGCUAUACCGAACCCCUAUCCGGUAAACUCAAUAUUGAAAAUAAUAAGUAGAAGUUGUUCUAUUUUAUUCCUCAGCCAAAAGCUGGCUUAUAUAGUGAGAAUAUAAUUAAUACAAUUAAUUCUCUCCUUAACGGAGAAUAAAGGUAAAUGAAUGACAAUAAACGGAAACAAUAAAAACGGAGAAACAAAAUAUUUUCCAACACCCCUCUUCAAGUUGGUGCAUAUAUAUCUAUCACGCCCAAUUUGUUUAUCAAAUGUUCGAAGGUAGGUCUUGUCAAACUUUUGGUCAGGAUAUCCGCAGUUUGCUGAUUUGAAGUAACGAAAGGUAGACAUAUGAUUCCAACAUCUAACUUCUUUAUGAAGUGUCGAUCAUUCUCAAUAUGCUUGGUUCUGUCAUGUUGAACUGGGUUAUGAGCUAUGCUAAUAGCAACUUUACUGUCAGAGUAUAAUUUCAAUGGAAGCUCAAUUUUCAUCUUAAGUCCUUUUAAGACUCUAAGGAUCCAUAAUCCUUCACAAAUACCUUGAGACAUAGCUCUAAACUCGACUUCUACAUUACUUCCUUGCUACAACUCCUUGUUUCUUGCUCCUCCAUGUGACAAGAUUACCCCAAACAUAGGUACAAUAUCCAGAAGUUGAUAUUCUAUCUGUGACUGAACCUGCGCAAUCAAUAUCGGUGAAGGUAGACACAUUUUUUUCACUAGUCUUCUUAAAAAAUAAGUCUUUUCCAAGAUUUCCCUUCAAGAUGUUCCUCUAAAGGAGAAUGUAUAAACUGACUUUCUACACUCACCGAGAAAGCAAUAUCAGGACGAGUGUGUGACAAAUAAAUCAGUUUAUCAAUCUUUGAUAUCUUUCAGUAUCAACAAGAACAUUACCUUCUCCCUAAAGUUUAACAUUAGGAUCCAUAAGGGUAUCUGCAGGACGACAUCCACUCAUUCCUGUUUCUUUCAAUAAGUCUAGAAUGUAUUUUUGUUAUGAAACCACAAUACCAUUCUUUGACCGAACAACCUUGAUACCUAGAAAAUAUCUCAUGAAUCCCAAGUCCUUGAUUUCAAAGUCUACUGCCAAUUUCUCUUUUACUCUUGCCAUUUCUGCUGUAUCGUCUUCAGUAAGGACAAUAUCAUCAACAUAAACAAUCAGGGCAACAUUUUUCCCAUCGCGGGAGAACUUUGUGAACAGGGCGUGGUCAACCUGUCCUUGGAUGUACCCUUGUUUCUUCAUGGAUUGAGUGAGUUUUUCAAACCAGGCUCUAGGAGACUGUUGUAAUCCAUACAAAGACUUAUUUAAUUUGUAUACAUUUGAUCCAACUUUGAUUUCAAAGUCAGGAGGAAUGUUCAUAUAUACUUCUUCUAGAUCGCCAUUAAGAAAGAUAUUCUUAACAUCUAAAUGAUGUAGAGGGACAAAUUCAGGUUAACAGCAAGAGAUAAAAGAAUUCUGACAGUGUUCAAUUUUGCAACAUGUGCAAAUGUGUUUUAGUAGUCUAUACCAUAGGUCUGAGUAAAGUCUUUAGCCACCAAGCGAGCCUUAUAUCUUUCAAUUGACUCAUCUGAAAUAUACUUCACAGUAAACACCCAU
rnacentral:lncRNA from 1 species